CAGUUUUGGCGGACCCAUCCUUGGGAGACCACCCUUGUAGUACUGGGACUCUAACCAUAGGCCAUGAAUCUGGUCUUGGGACACUGUCAGGUGGGCAGUUUGACUGGGGCGGUCGCCUCCCAACAGGUAACGGAGGCGCUCAAAGGUUCUCUCAGUACGGUCGGAAAUCGUACGUAGAGUGUAAAGGCAAAAGAGAGCUUGAUUGCAAGACAUACAGGUCGAGCAAGGAUGAAAAUCGGACUUAGUGAUCC
rnacentral:rRNA from 1 species